GACUAAGUGGCCGAGUGGUUAAGGCGAUGGACUGCUUACCCAUUGUGUUUUGCACGCGUGGGUUCGAGUCCCAUCCUCGUCG